CGCUGGCGGUGUGCCUCACACAUGCAAGUCGAGCGGACGAAGAUUGAAGCUUGCUUCAGUCCUAGUUAGCGGCGGACGGGUGAGUAACACGUAGGAAUCUGCCUUCAGGCGGGGGACAACGGAACGAAAGUUGCGCUAAUACCCCAUAUGCGAGUAAUCGUAAAAGGAGCAAUCCACCGGAAGAUGAGCCUGCGUCCGAUUAGCUAGUUGGUAGGGUAAAAGCCUACCAAGGCUACGAUCGGUAGUUGGUCUGAGAGGAUGAUCAGCCACAAUGGAACUGAGACACGGUCCAUACUCCUACGGGAGGCAGCAGUGGGGAAUUUUACGCAAUGGGCGAAAGCCUGACGUAGCGACACCGCGUGAGCGAAGAAGCCUUUUGGGGUGUAAAGCUCUGUCAGCUGGAACGAACACAAUGACGGUACCAGCAGAGGAAGCAUCGGCUAACUACGUG
rnacentral:rRNA from 1 species